GACGAACGCUGGCGGCGUGCUUAACACAUGCAAGUCGAACGGAAAGGCCCUGCUUGCGGGGUGCUCGAGUGGCGAACGGGUGAGUAACACGUGGGUGAUCUGCCCCUUACUUUGGGAUAAGCCUGGGAAACUGGGUCUAAUACUGGAUAGGACCAUGCUGUAGGUGGUGUGGUGGAAAGAUUAGUUUCGGUAAGGGAUGAGCUCGCGGCCUAUCAGCUUGUUGGUGGGGUAAUGGCCUACCAAGGCGUCGACGGGUAGCCGGCCUGAGAGGGUGGACGGCCACAUUGGGACUGGGAUACGGCCCAGACUCCUACGGGAGGCAGCAGUGGGGAAUAUUGCACAAUGGGCGCAAGCCUGAUGCAGCGACGCCGCGUGGGGGAUGACGGCCUUCGGGUUGUAAACUCCUUUCAGCCAUGACGAAGCCCUUGUGGUGACGGUAGUGGUAGAAGAAGCACCGGCUAACUACGUG
rnacentral:rRNA from 1 species